AGAGAGAGAGAGAGAGAGAGAGAGAGAGAGAGAGUUAUAUGAGUAGGACUUCUACGUGAAGAAAUAAACAAUCAAGACUAAAACAACCAGACUUAGUAAUAAUGAAAGCUUGAGUUUGUUAUUAGCUCUAGAAAUCUCAGAGCAAGUACAGAAGGUGGAUCUUAUGGAGUAAUUCUAUAUAAUAAAAAAAUUGAUGACAGUUCUUAAGAAUAAAACACAUAAAAGUUUACAGGGAGCAUAUAAUCAGUAUUUCCAAGAGAACAUUUACAGAACCCAAGAUAAUAUGAAAGGCAGAUUAUGUAUUAUAAACUUUCAUAUAGGUGACAGUGGGCUAUUGUUAAAAGAAGUCAAUAUGGGUGUUAAGAGGCAAUAUGCCUCUACUGAUGCCAAAUAUUGAAGUCUAGCUAAGUCAAUUUGGUAGAUGAAAACACCCAACAAUUUCUAGUACAGAAGUUACAAGAGUGAGAGGGAUCCAGAAUAGAAAGGAAACCAAGCAACUUCAGAAUCAUACUUCGUGGCAAGGAUGUUAAGCAUCACAACAUCUUGAAUGAGUUGAUGUGAUCUCAGCAGAUCACGUAUAGGCCUAAGCUACCCGAUAAGGAGGAAACAUAUAUAACGAGAAAAACCAAGAAGGAUAGAAAUAUGGUUGCUACUCUCAUGAUAAGCAGGGCUUUGAGCAUACCAUACUUCUUGACAGACUUAAGCAGAAGAUAGCAGAAACGCAAAGGGGUACUGGUAUACCAAUUGUCAUAAAAUUGGCUAUGCUCCACUACAUAAUAAAAAGGCUAUUAAUGAAGAACAGGAAGCUGCGAAUAAGUCAGCUAGCCAGAGUGGACCUGUUUUAGAUUCAAAUACAGACAAGUCGUCUUCACACAAGAGACCAGUUUUAGAUUCAAAUCUAGACGAGUCCUCUUCAAGCAAGAAAACAGUUUUAGAUUCAAAUCUAGACAAGUCGUCUUCUCGCAAGAGACCACUUCCAGAUUCAAAUAUAAAUGCAGCACCACACAAAAGCC